CGUGGGCUGGGGCCGUGCACGCGCGGGGCCCCAGUGUGUGUGAGGCUGCGAGUAUCUGCGAACGCGCUUGCACACCCAUCCACGGCACUCGCAUUCAUCCCGCCUGGUUCCGCUCACCACUCUGUAUAAGCCCCAACGGAGCGUCCCCACAACACCUCCGGGGCCCCGAAGGAUGCGCUUGAGGAGCUCCGAGUGCUCACUCUCGGCGAAGCGCCGGGGCAAAGCGGCGCGUAAACGCACCCAGUUCUUGUGAAGUUAAAAUAUAGCGCAAACUCUUCAAUGCUAGAGUGGAUUGAAUGUUAAUUCUCCAAAAAGAUUUUUUAAAGCGUAAUGUGUAUUAAUUAAUGGGCUGUAGGGGAUUGUUUAUUCAACCAAUGCAGCCCUUGUUCAGUUGCCUUCUUAUGCUACAAGAUAGAAAGAUCCCUUGGGGCUUCCUGGUAAUGAAUGAUCCGGGAGUAACACCGCCACAACCUGCGGGAAAAGGAGAGUCGUUUAUCCGAUCCUGAGAUCUGCAGGAUUGAAAUGAAAUGUUUUGAGGUCUUCAAGCUGACUCAUCGGAAUAAUCCUGGAGCAUUUUUAAAAUGACGGAAAUGAAAGGAAAUGACUUAAAGACAAUUUUAAAUAUAGGAAGAAAUCACCAAAGGAAGAAGAUGAUAGAAUUUUAUUUACUUACUGAAAUACAUAUGGAGCACCUACCGUGUACUCCGGGCUUCUCUGCCUGCCAGUGCAGCAGAUGCGGUUUUGAUCCCUGGUCCAGUAAGAUCCCCUGGGGAAGGAAAUAGAAACCCACUCCAGUAUUCUUGGCUGAAAAUCCCCACGGACAGAGGAGCCUGGCGGCUACAGUCCAUGGGGUCGCAAAGAGUCAGACACUGCUUGGCAACUCACCACCGCCGUGAUGUACUAGAGUGUUUGGAAUACAUUAUGAAUAAAAUAGACAGAUGUUCUCAACUGCUGGUUUUUUUUCUUUUUUGGUGUGUGUGUGUAAUAAAUAAAUAAACUAGUGUGUUGGAAAGUGAAAAGUGCCAUGGAGAAUAGGAAAAGAACAGGUCAAGAGGAUCUCUUAAUUUAAAAUUAAGGAGAUCAAUUUUUUCCUUCUCAAAUUUGUGAGGAUAAUAGAACUCAGACAUGAAGUAGAUUGGGUUCUUAGUAACUGGCUAUGGUUGUUUUGCCAUGGCAAGAGAAAACAAACAGAACUUGAGAUGUUCUUUUUUAAGGUUUCCUUUAGGAGUUGCUUUAAAGUAGAUUUCUCAUUAUCCACUAAAUUGAAUGUUUUCCCACUAGGCAAUUUGCCCCUAACACUAAAUUAGGGGGAGAACCACUAAAACAACUCUGUCAUUUAAUGACGAGGAGGUUUUAAAAGUAAAGGGAUGUCUACAUGGGAUGUAGAGUAGGUUUCAAUUUUUUGAUAGUUGCUUCUUUUUCCCCCCAUCAGAAACAAAAGGGAGUAUUUAAAGAUGUGUUGGUGGAGGGGAAAAUUGGGUUUAGGAUAUUAAGUCCCCAGCAGGAGACUUUAGAAUUUCUUGGUUGCCUCAACAAAACCUUUAUCUUCCAUGGGGAAUAGUUAAACAAUGAUAACAAAGGAAAUUAAAAGCAAAGCAAUGUCUAGUGACUGUCGUUUGAGCAAGUACGUUUCCUAGAAAAACUGAUGAUGAAUAACUUUGUCAAAUUUGAGUGCUUUAAGUGCCUACCUCCAUUGACCUUUACAAAAAUAUGAUUUGCCUUCAAGUUGUAAUGAAAAAUGCAUCAACACGCUAAAUGUCAAUAUGAUAGACUCUUCUAGAAUGUACUGUCUGCCAAUAGUAUAGGGUGUGUUGCCUCUACAUGCUUCAUAAGGUUUCUCUCAAUUCAUUCAGGUAUCUAACUAGACAAGCAGUGGUCUUAGAACAAGUUAUGUCCUUUGUCCAUACAAAAUCUGUAAGUAUAAAAUGCUUGUAGUGCUCUGGAUGGUUUUUUUCUUGCUAAAAUUUCAUUGUUUGAUUUUAUCAAUAUGCCUCUCUCCCACGCUUGCUUAUUUAUUUGCUUAAUAACUACAUACAUUCAUUUACUCACAUAUUAAAAAAUAUUAAUAUGAAAUGAACUCCUUUAUGUUUGGGACAUUGUGCUAAAUACUUACAAACUCCUGGAUAAAAAUGUUUUUAUAUGAAAAGUGGAACUGUGAUAUGGUUAGUCUCAAUACCUAAUUUGAGAAUGACUAGUUCUUUCUGGAUAACAGCUGUAUAUAGGAAAGGGGAAAUGGAUGAUUGUGAAGACAUACAUAGAAGUCUCACUAGGUUUGGAAGCAGAGACACAAACUGGAUUAAUUCAGUUAGGUGCUACAUAUGUGAUAGCCAUAAUGAUGACAGAGAAAAUGUUACAUGUUGUUGCCUAUAUUCCUCUUAAUAAGACAGAUAUUUUAAUACAUUUCAGAAUUAUUUCAGCACAGUAGUCCUUUAUGUGGAGUUAAUAACAAAUUGCAUUAUUCAUAACAAUUGUUCAUAUUGAUAUAUUUAAGUAGUUUGUGAAAUUUUUAAAGUUCGUUUGUAAAUUACUUUGUAGGGAUGAUUUUAUUUUUAAACAUGGAUGGAUCAGUUAUACCAUUAUAUAUUUUAUUCACUCUAUUUUUUUAGUUGUACUAUUUCUGUCCUACUGGUUUCCUGCAACAACCUGUUUUCUUUCUGUAAAGAAUUUCUUACACUUUAUAGAUUUGCAAUGCAAUUAGUGGAUGCAUUUCUAAUCCUUCUAAACAUUCAAAUAUUGAUGUAUAAAUCACUCUUCCACCUACACACAAUGGGUUCUAUUUUAUUACAUCAUAUGUAGAACUAUCUUAUACAUACUUACCUGUGAAUGUCUAGUUUCUAACUUAAUUUCAUCCCAUAGAGUUGAAACUGUGUUUUAGUUUUUUUCAGUAUUAUAUUUUAGCUUCUGUAGAAUGGUUGUGAAAUUUCAUGUAAUACCUUUCUGGGAGAGAUGAAAGUAAUUAAGAAGCACAAAGGUACCUAUUUAAUUAGCAUAGUUGUAUCCUCAGAAGAAUCUUUGGUUGUGAAAAGUCUAAGGGAGCUUGCCCUUAGUUAAUUGAAUCAGAGCAUUUUUCACUUUUUUCAUGUCUCUCCACUUUAUUUGAUUUUGUUAUAUUCUCCACAAUGACUCACUAAAAAAAAAUUCCAGAGUAUAUAUUUUCUCCUAAGUAAUAUUUUGUUGAAGCCUGUAAAUCUGUGGUCAAAUCUAGGAUCAAUAUCAAUCCUAUUUUGUUACCAGGAAGGCACCGGAUGUAUUUUUAUGAUAAGAAGGUAUUCAAAUAUGAAAAUAUAUCUCGUUGAUCUUUAAGAGUAAGGAAUUUAAUAUGCUGACAUCUACUGAACAGUUCAAAUGCAGUUUGAGAGCUGCUUAAUCUUCUUUUCAUGUGGAUAUUGCUAAACUACAGGUAUAGAGCUUGUCUCACAUAUAGAUCCUUGCUUCCCUAGAUAAUUGUAGUAUUCACUAAGGUGAACUUUAUCUAUUUCAGCUUAAUAUUUCUUUGAAAGGGCAGUCCUAAUUUAGAAGCAAGUGAAUAAAAGGCAUCAUGCUUUUAAUUACUUUUAGAAAAGAAGUUAGUUCUUUCCCCUUUGAAUACUCUAAAUUAGAUUAAACAUUUUGGGGAGAGACAAAACAGAGGGGAGUUGCCAGUGGAGAAGUGUGUGGGAACCAAAUGUAAAGUUACCAGUCCUUUUACGAAUAAAGGAAACCGAGAAAAACAGCAGCUGCCAUUUCAGCUCAAUAACUCCAGUAACCUCCUAGUGAAAUCAUUUUGAGACUGCUGGGUGGAAAUAGUUUAAAGGUCUAUUGUAAAAGAAAUAAGAAUUUUAUUCAUUAAUUAGGUGCGUCAGAGACUGCUUUGAGUUUUUGUAAAAAUGAAUGACCUUUUAUUCCCUGGUUAUAGUUACAUCCUUAAACUCUUGAUUUCCUGUGCCCCAUUCCAUUUCUGUUUAAGAUUUCACCUUUGCAAAUACUAGGCCAGUUGCGAAAAGGUUUUCAUUUCCCUUUCACUCUAGUAAAAAAAGCAGAGUAACUGUUUUUAAAAUUAACACAUGACAGGAGGGAUAUAAAUUGCAAAAUUGAAAUCUCUUGAUAAUGCAUAAGUGAUAGAGUGAGGGAACAUUUUGUUAACGUGUUUUGCGUUUCUUACCUCAGCGGAGAUGGAUAGUGAAGAUAUUUUUGGUCUUAUAGUGAAUUAUUUUUUGUUUUUGUCAUAAAAUAUUGGACUUUCAUGGAGAUUAUUUUCAGUUUUGCUCCUUUACAGUUGAGAUUGGUUCAAAGGCAGAAUUUAUGCCAGCAUUUGGAAUUUUGAUCUUUAGCAUGUAUUAUGUAGUAAUUCACAUUUGAUUAAUUUAGAAUUUCUGAAAAUGUGAAUCUAACAUUGAACUAUUUUGGCACAGUGGAAAAAAAGCAUGCUAAACAAAUAAAUAGUAUAAACAAUUAGAGAGGAAAAGUAUAAAUACUUCAAGCAGUUUUCAAAGUUUUAAUAGUUGAAAAUGUUCAAAGCAUUAUGACAGUUUCAACUCACUUAUUAAUUAUAGCAUUUAUCUUCCUAAUAAAUAGUUGUCUGUUUUAGAUAACAUAUUUCAAGUUAUUAUAGUUUCUUAAAAACAACUAUUUUUAAAUUUUUUCAGUUAUAAUGAAUUAGCGUGUGUGUGUAUGUAUGUGUUAGUGACUCAGCUGUGUCCAACUCUUUGCGGCCUCAUGGACUGUAGCCCCCCAGGCUCCUCUUUCUAUGGAAUUCUCCAGGCAGGAAUGCUGGAGCGGAUUGCCAUUCCCUUCCCAACCCAAGGAUCAAACCUGGGUCACCUGCAUGGCAGGCUGAUUCUUUACUGUCUGAGCCACCUAUACAUCUUAACCAAAUAGUACACUGUGCAAAAAUUUGAGUUCUGCUCCUAUUCUCUUCAUUCAAGAUACCCAAUCAUCAGGGCCAAGUAUUUGAACUUUAGAGGAUUUUUCUUUUGGUGUUUGCAUCUAUAUAUCUAAAUGGCUUGUUUCUAUUUCUAUUUAUGGAUUUCUCGGUUUUACAUUCUAUGUAUCCAUUCAUGUCCCAGAGUAGAAGCUUUUUUAGCAGUCUGUUCAUACAUAUGAACAUACAUUUUCUCUACCUCCAUUGUUUCACUAGAGGUUUAUCAUAACUUUUGGUUAAAACGUUAUUCAGUCGUUACAUUAAUAUGUGUUUGUAAGUGUUUCUAUCUGAGCUAAAUACUAUAUAUUAUGAAUAUAAUUGCUUUCUUGUGUGACACUUUAUCUGGAGUUAAUCACUUGCUUUAUUAUGUGUUUAGUUUGUAUAUCCUUAUCACUCCAAAUUCUCAGAAGUGCCAUAAAGUUUUCUCAUUACAAAUACAUCAUGUAAAUCAGAUGAUCUAGUUUCUUUCUUGCUUUCUUCUUUAUUUCCAACUUUAGCAUCUUAUGCCAUUCUGCAGUGGCUAUCAAUGGAGAGCUUCCUUUCAUCUUCAUCGAAUCAUCCCCCAAUUCCCUUUGCUUUUCUCUUUAUUGAUUUUAUUCGCUCUUUUUCAUUUUGAGAAUCAUUUAUGUGUGGUACUUAUCCAGUCAGUUUUAAAUGCAGAAUAAAAUGUUGACUUAAUGCUCAAAAUAAAAGGGUUGAUUGGAUGUUGUGUGUGCAAGGUCAGCAUGAGAAUGCAGCACAUCCCUAAUGUUAGGGAGAAUCAUUUAAUUGGGGAUUCUUAAAUAUCAGUGUCUAGAAACCAUCUUUAUGGCAGAAAGUGAAGAGGAACUAAAAAGCCUCUUGAUGAAAGUGAAAGAGGAGAGUGAAAAAGACCCUCAAGAGUCUUCUCCAACACCACAGUUCAAAAGCAUCAAUUCUUCGGCGUUCAGCCUUCUUCACAGUCCAACUCUCACAUCCAUACAUGACUCCUGGAAAACCAUAGCCUUGACUAGAUGGACCUUUGUUGGCAAAGUAAUGUCUCUGCUUUUGAAUAUGCUAUCUAGGUUGGUUAUAACUUUUCUUCCAAGGAGUAAGUGUCUUUUAAUUUCAUGGCUGCACUCACCAUCUUCAGUGAUUUUGGAGCCCCCCAAAAUAAAGUCUGCCACUGUUUUCACUGUUUCCCCAUCUAUUUUCCAUGAAGUGAUGGGACCCGAUGCCAUGAUCUUAGUUUUCUGAAUGUUGAGCUUUAAGCCAACUUUUUCACUCUCCUCUUUCACUUUCUGGUUUAAAUAUAUAGAAUUGAUUGGAUUCACCCAACUACACAGAACAAUAAUAUUCCCUUAUCACAUGUGCUUAUAUAAAUUUAUUUCAAUCUUGUGGAAGAGCAUGGUGGAAAGCAACAUUGCCUGAAAUGAGUUCUAAAAUGUCAUUGAGGCUUCAUCUGCAUCUCUAUUCUGCCAUCCCAGGGUGUGGCAUUCCUCUACAGGGUCCAAAAUUUCUGAUGUAGACACUUAAUCACUGUGGUGUCUCUGGUAGUAAAACAAAGGAAGAGAGGAGGAUAGCAUAGCUCCUCCCUUAGAAAAAGACCUUGUCAACCUCCAACCCAUUCCUUUUCAUCUCUUUUACCACAAUUUGAUCAUAUUUGUGGUCCUUUAUUCUGUGUGGUAUCAUGGCAGGCUAAAAAUAACUUACUAAAUUUAAAUAAAAGUGAGGGAAUGGAGGAUGGAGUAUGCAUCUAACAGUCCUAAAUUAAGUCACUGGCGUAUAGAUUACAUUUGCAAAUAUGGAUAUGUGUGAAU
ensembl:lncRNA